rnacentral:lncRNA from 1 species
CCCGGGCCUUUGACAAGAUUGUAGAGCAACGAUAUUUAUGUGUCUCUUUUUAAGCUCUCAAAACUCAGGCUCUGCCCCGCAGCGGCCUUCUCUCAGAGCUUGGUGGGUUCCUGCGAACGCCUUGGUGGAACCCUUGUCUGCCUCUUGGAGAACUUGAAGUGUGUGACUCAAGAACCCCCGAGUCUUUCUUUCCUCUCCUUCUUGGUCAAGAACCAGUGAGUUCAGGCUAGUGAGAUGGCUCAGCGGUUAAGAGCACUGACUGCUCUUCCGGAGGUCCUGAGUUCAAAUCCCAGCAACCAGAUGGUGGCUCACAACCAUCCAUAAUGAGAUCUGACUCCCUCUUCUGGUGUGUCUAAAGACAGCUACAGUGUACUUACAUAUAAUAAUAAAUACAUCUUUGGGCCGGAGUGAGCAGAGGUCUUGAGUUCAAUUCCCAGCGACUCAUGAUGGCUCACAACCAUCUGUGCACUCAUAUACAUAAAAUAAAUAAUAAAUCUUUUUUUUUUUUU